rnacentral:rRNA from 1 species
AGGAGUUUGGAUCCUGGCUCAGAGUGAACGCUGGCGGUAGGCCUAACACAUGCAAGUCGAACGGCAGCACAGUAAGAGCUUGCUCUUAUGGGUGGCGAGUGGCGGACGGGUGAGGAAUACAUCGGAAUCUACUUUUUCGUGGGGGAUAACGUAGGGAAACUUACGCUAAUACCGCAUACGACCUUCGGGUGAAAGCAGGGGACCUUCGGGCCUUGCGCGAUUGAAUGAGCCGAUGUCGGAUUAGCUAGUUGGCGGGGUAAAGGCCCACCAAGGCGACGAUCCGUAGCUGGUCUGAGAGGAUGAUCAGCCACACUGGAACUGAGACACGGUCCAGACUCCUACGGGAGGCAGCAGUGGGGAAUAUUGGACAAUGGGCGCAAGCCUGAUCCAGCCAUACCGCGUGGGUGAAGAAGGCCUUCGGGUUGUAAAGCCCUUUUGUUGGGAAAGAAAAGCAGCGGGCUAAUACCUUGCUGUUCUGACGGUACCCAAAGAAUAAGCACCGGCUAACUUCGUGCCAGCAGCCGCGGUAAUACGAAGGGUGCAAGCGUUACUCGGAAUUACUGGGCGUAAAGCGUGCGUAGGUGGGUGUUUAAGUCUGUGGAAAG